rnacentral:tRNA from 1 species
GCCGAGGUGGCGGAAUUGGUAGACGCGCCAGGUUUAGGUCCUGGUGUCUUGACGGCGUGGAGGUUCGAGUCCUCUCCUCGGCACCA